rnacentral:rRNA from 1 species
CCUACGGGUGGCUGCAGUCGAGAAUUAUUGACAAUGGGCGCAACCCUGAUGGUGCGACGCCGCGUGGAGGAAUGAAGGUCUACGGAUUGUAAACCCCUGUCAUGUGGGAGCAAAUUAAAAAGAUAGUACCACAAGAGGAAUAGACGACUAACUAGGUGCCAGCAGCCGCGGUAAUACAGAGGUGUCAAGAGUGGUUCGGAAUCACUGGGCGUAAAGCGUGCGGAGGCUGGUUCGUAAGUGGGGUGUGAAAGGUGCGGGCUCAACCCGCGGACGGCAAAUGAUACUGCGAGACUGGAGUAGUGGAGGGGGAAGCGGAAUUCGUGGUGUAGCAGUGAAAUGCGUAGAUAUCGAGAGGAACACUCGAGGCGAAGGCAGGUUCCUGGACAUUAACUGACGCUGAGGCACGAAGGCCAGGGUAGCGAAAGGGAUUAGAUACCCGUGUAGUC